AGAGUUUCAUUCUGGCUCAGAUUGAACGCUGGCGGCAUGCCUUACACAUGCAAGUCGAACGGCAGCACGGAGCUUGCUCUGGUGGCGAGUGGCGAACGGGUGAGUAAUAUAUCGGAACGUACCCUAGAGUGGGGGAUAACGUAGCGAAAGUUACGCUAAUACCGCAUACGAUCUAAGGAUGAAAGUGGGGGAUCGCAAGACCUCAUGCUCGUGGAGCGGCCGAUAUCUGAUUAGCUAGUUGGUAGGGUAAAAGCCUACCAAGGCAUCGAUCAGUAGCUGGUCUGAGAGGACGACCAGCCACACUGGAACUGAGACACGGUCCAGACUCCUACGGGAGGCAGCAGUGGGGAAUUUUGGACAAUGGGCGAAAGCCUGAUCCAGCAAUGCCGCGUGAGUGAAGAAGGCCUUCGGGUUGUAAAGCUCUUUUGUCAGGGAAGAAGCGGUGAGAGCUAAUAUCUCUUGCUAAUGACGGUACCUGAAGAAUAAGCACCGGCUAACUACGUGCCAGCAGCCGCGGUAAUACGUAGGGUGCACGCGUUAAUCGGAAUUACUGGGCGUAAAGCGUGCGCAGGCGGUUUUGUAAGUCUGAUGUGAAAUCCCCGGGCUCAACCUGGGAAUUGCAUUGGAGACUGCAAGGCUAGAAUCUGGCAGAGGGGGGUAGAAUUCCACGUGUAGCAGUGAAAUGCGUAGAUAUGUGGAGGAACACCGAUGGCGAAGGCAGCCCCCUGGGUCAAGAUUGACGCUCAUGCACGAAAGCGUGGGGAGCAAACAGGAUUAGAUACCCUGGUAGUCCACGCCCUAAACGAUGUCUACUAGUUGUCGGGUCUUAAUUGACUUGGUAACGCAGCUAACGCGUGAAGUAGACCGCCAGGGGAGUACGGUCGCAAGAUUAAAACUCAAAGGAAUUGACGGGGACCCGCACAAGCGGUGGAUGAUGUGGAUUAAUUCGAUGCAACGCGAAAAACCUUACCUACCCUUGACAUGGCUGGAAUCCCCGAGAGAUUGGGGAGUGCUCGAAAGAGAACCAGUACACAGGUGCUGCAUGGCUGUCGUCAGCUCGUGUCGUGAGAUGUUGGGUUAAGUCCCGCAACGAGCGCAACCCUUGUCAUUAGUUGCUACGAAAGGGCACUCUAAUGAGACUGCCGGUGACAAACCGGAGGAAGGUGGGGAUGACGUCAAGUCCUCAUGGCCCUUAUGGGUAGGGCUUCACACGUCAUACAAUGGUACAUACAGAGCGCCGCCAACCCGCGAGGGGGAGCUAAUCGCAGAAAGUGUAUCGUAGUCCGGAUUGUAGUCUGCAACUCGACUGCAUGAAGUUGGAAUCGCUAGUAAUCGCGGAUCAGCAUGUCGCGGUGGAUACG
rnacentral:rRNA from 1 species